rnacentral:rRNA from 1 species
GACAGAGGGUGCAAACGUUGUUCGGAAUUACUGGGCGUAAAGCGCGUGUAGGCGGCUGCGCAAGUCGGAUGUGAAAUCCCAUGGCUCAACCAUGGAAGUGCACCCGAAACUGCGUAGCUUGAGUCUCGGAGAGGAAGGCGGAAUGCUUGGUGUAGAGGUGAAAUUCGUAGAUAUCAAGCGGAACACCGGUGGCGAAGGCGGCCUUCUGGACCGAUAUUGACGCUGAGGAGCGAAAGCCAGGGGAGCAAACGGG